rnacentral:lncRNA from 1 species
CCAAAGUGAAAGUUCUACAACUAUUUCAUACAUACAAAUAUCAUAAUUACUUUUAACCACAUACAAGCAUAAUACAACUACUCAUAUUCUUUUCUUUCAUUUAUACAUCACAUGUCCUCAAAACAUAAACCCUUUAUGCGUUUACAUCAUUUAUACAACUAUACAACUAUGUUCAUCAUAUACAAAAGAUGACAUCUGUAGGGUAUGAACUAUACUCGGGUAGUCGCUAUCUAGGGUGCGAUACCCUUGCCACGGUCCUCAACCGGCUCGCUUGGCCUCGGCUCUGUAAAAAUAGUGGGGUGAGAACUAAAAGAAAGUUUCCAGUGGGUUCAGCUGCCGACCCCGCCGACUUUCCCACUAGGUCUAAACCAGGCAUAGUUAGA